rnacentral:rRNA from 1 species
GAUCCUGGCUCAGGAUGAACGCUGGCGGCGUGCUUAACACAUGCAGGUCGAACGAAGCACUUUGGGCAGAUUCUUCGGAUGAAGUCCUUAGUGACUGAGUGGCGGACGGGUGAGUAACGCGUGAGGAACCUGCCUCAAAGAGGGGGACAACAGUUGGAAACGACUGCUAAUACCGCAUAAGCCCACGGGUCGGCAUCGACCUGAGGGAAAAGGAGUAAUCCGCUUUGAGAUGGCCUCGCGUCCG